CCCACAUAUGGGAUGUAUGUAUAUAUUUAUAUAUAUAUAACUAUAUAUUCAUAUAUAGAGAGAGAGAUUUGACUGGGGCUUAGGGGAGGGAAGGCGAGAAUGCGAGAGCGACAGAGAGAAGGAGCGUGUGUGUCUGGAUGCCCCCAAAUAACCUCCCUGAAACUGUAACAGACAAGAAGAGACAACUUCAUCUUCAGCCCUCCCCCUCCCAGUCCAAUUUACAGUAGGAGCACAAUAAGGAGAUCUCAUUAGAAAGCACUCCAUUUAUUUUUCUUCCUUCCUUCUGUGUUACACAGCUGGCUACCACACACACACACACACACACUCCUUUACAACAGCAGCACCCUCAACGCCAGCUCUACCGAAAUUGCAGCCCGACAGCCGGCGAGACCCAGGCUCCGAGGAGCUAGACCCGUGAUACUUUUUCUUUGCCUUCUAAAAGAGACAUGACGCAAGUUCAUUUGGACACGUAGAGGCUGUUGUUUCACUUUGGGCCUCUACCAUCUCAUCACUGCAGCCCCUCAGGAAGGGAAUGGAACAGCAUGGAAUGCCAUCUGCUGAGGUGUUGAUGUGAGGAGCUUGAAGCCUAGCAUUGCUGGAAUUCCCAAGAAGAAACCCAAGAUCUACUGUACAGAGAGGGCCAGCCAGAGACAACGUGUGUGUGUGUGUGGGGGGAGAGUGUGAUGCAGGGUCACAUGCCCCCCCCCUCUGAUUUGCUGCUUGGCUUGUAUUGAGCAUGCUCAGUAACAGUGCUGAAGCCAGCUGCCCUCAUUCUGCUCCCCCCCUUAUCGGCAGGCACGGGUUGUCUGUGCCCAGCAGUGAGUUUCAUAUCUGCAAGCUCCUCAAUCAUCCUUCUCUUUGUAGAAGGGGAACACAAAGCCAGAUGCAGUCAGUAUGAAUAAGGUGUUGAAUUGGUGCUGAAACCUCUACCCACUAUGGUAUGCACUACAAAAUUAGGUCAACUAAUUUAGGUCGACCUAAAGCCACAGCAGUAAUUCAAUUGGCUGUUGGUGUCCACACUACCCUCCUUCUGCCAAUGGUGCAUGCCCUCACAGGAGAACUUGCGGGGCACCAACUGAACUGGGGCACUGACAGCUGCACAGGGCUCACAGCUGGACCCCCCACCUGCCACAGGGUGACAGCCCAAGCUGUGAGCCUGGUGCAGGGCUCAAUUUCAUAGCAGGGAGCCUACCAGCCUUUCUUGUCAAUUUCACGGUGGCCUCAGGUUCAGAACAGCAGGCAGGGGCUCACAGCUGGAGUCCUGAAAUUGACAAGAAGAGUGGGUAGACUGCGCUGUGAAAUUGAGUCCUGUCCAGGGCUCACAGCUGGGGCUGUCACCCCAGAGUAAGGGGCAGAGCUCCAGCUGUGAGCUCUGUGCCUGGCUGACCACUGGGGGUAGGGGACAGCCGUUGUAGACACAGCCUGAGUUUGUUUCUCUGUGCUUGUCUAUACUGUAUAUUGGGGCACAAUUCUUUGAGUCAGAGGAAGUCACCAUGCAAUGGUACUGAGGUGAGGGCUAUGUAAAGAGGUGCCUUCCGCUAUGCUCUAAUGCAGGGGUUCUCAACCUUUUUCUUUCUGAGCCCCCCCGCAACAUGCUAUAAAAACUCCAGGGCCCAGCGGGGGACGGGGGGGACUCGGGCAUAGAUGUAGUUUGACCUCUAUUUUGGCUGGGCAGGAGCCGGCGGGGCUCGAGCCACCUCCGCAUGGUGGGGUCUGGGGAGGGAGCACCACCUCCACCCCGACUCACCUCAGCAGGCCACCCAG